rnacentral:rRNA from 1 species
GUCCUUUUGAUUUAUAUUUAAGGUCUGACCUGCCCACUGAUUUAUUUAAUGGCCGCGGUAUUCUGACCGUGCAAAGGUAGCAUAAUAAUUUGUCUUUUAAUUGAAGGCUUGUAUGAAUGGUUGGACGAGAAAACUUCUUUCUUUAUAAUAAAUUUAUGAAUUUUAUUUUUUAGUUAAAAAGCUAAAAUUUAAUUGUAGGACGAGAAGACCCUAUAGAACUUUAUAAUUAUUAUUAUGUUAAUAUUUUUGGUUUAUAAAUAUAUUGUUUAAUAAUAAUUAUUUUGUUGGGGCGACAAGAAAAUUUAUUUAACUUUUUUUAUUAAAUUUCAUUAAUUAAUGUAUGGAUGAUCCUUUAUUAAGGAUAAUUAGAAUAAGUUACCUUAGGGAUAACAGCGUAAUUUUUUUGGAGAGUUCUUAUCGAUAAAAAAGUUUGCGA